GGGGGAGUAGUUCAACUGGCAGAACACAGUGCUCUGAACACUCGAGGUUGAUCGUUCGAAUCGAUCCUCCCCUU
rnacentral:tRNA from 1 species